rnacentral:lncRNA from 1 species
UGCUGUGGCAUGCGGCCAGGUCUUGCCAAUGGAUGGGAGGGGAUGGAAGGGGAUGGUAAGUGAUGGAGGCCUCACCCAGGCCAAGGCUUCGAGGAGCAGGUAGGGUUUCUCCACUCUCUUCUGCUGCUGGAUGCAGAGGCCUCCAAGGCCGGGAAGGGUGGAGAGCCGUGAAAUGGGAGGAGCGUGGGUGGCUCUCUCCGUUGCUAAGGAGAGGAGAGAGCUGCCAACCAGGAGCAACACGGCUGGAUUGUUCCUGAGCGUUGAGCCCCUGCUGUUGACUGCCAGCAAUGUGAAGUGCACCAGACGCUGUGGACGAGGAGGAGAUUCAAGGACACUAAGUCCGGGCCAGGUCCCAAGAUGCCUUUCUCUAAUCGCUCAAGAGUUAACUGCCACCUUGAAUUACCUUGGAACGUACGGGGAGGAGCUGUUCUCGUCCUUCUCUGCCCUCCAAUGGAGAGCUUCAGAAGGAUGCGAGUCAGACUCCAGAGCAGGCUAUAACCAGCACAAAGAGUCAUUUAAAACCAAGGUAAUAAGGAGGGUGUGAAUGCUGGGGAUUUCUUACUUAAACUUCAUGAACUAGAUUUGAUCUUUCUUAAAAUCAUUCCUUAAAAUCAUAAUCAUUAUGAUAACGUUUAAGAAAAACAUUAGAGAUGCAUGCUGAAAUAUUUACAGAUAAAAUAAUACAGUGUUUGGGAUUUGCUUAAAAAAAUGCAGAGGGUGGUGAGAUGGGGUUACGGAUGAAACAAAAUUGACUAUAAGUGGAUAAUUGUUGAAGCUAGGUGAUGGAUACAUGGGGCUUCAUUAUAAUAUUCCCUCUAUUUUUGUAUAUGUUUUGGAUUUUCUAUGAUAUAAAGUUAAACACUAAAUAUUUUAAGAGGUAAUGAAUGUCUUCCUCUGAGACAGUUAUCUAGUCUGAGACUCAGUUUCCCGGAACUCUCGAAAUUUGUUUGUCUACAUCUAAACCACAUGGUUUUUGUCCUUCAAAAAAGAAACCACAUAGAGUUACAGCUCUCUCUUCUCUCCCCUCCUCGCCUCUCCUUUCUUCUCGCCUCUGCCUUCUUCCCAGGGAUUCCAGGGGACGGGCACACAGCACGCGCCUCACGUCCAGCAGACACACUCCAGAAAUACGGCGACUCGGCCCUUACCACCUAGACCACUCUCCCGGAACACCGGGCUCAUGGCCUGAGGACACACAGCCACAGGAAGCAGCCAGGCCUCGACCUUCAAACACACCCUUGAAAGAAGCAAUCACAGAGCUUGACUAGAGACAGUCCACAAAAUCUUUUCAAAUUCUUGAAUGAGAAAAAAAAAAAUGGUGCCACUGAGAGACACAGAAAGAACUCCCCUAUCUCUGGCCCCUGCCCACACAGACGGUCCCUCCCUCCUUGAGGGCAGGCCUGGCCGGGUCUGGAGUGUGAGCAGAAUUGAACUGGACUUCCACCGGUGGCAACCCCCUGAAUCCUUUCCCUCAUCAAAAGGCAGUUCCUUUUGCAUGGGCACAGCUGAAAGGAAACUAUUAACUGAAUGAAGAAGACCAAAAAACACCCAAAACAUUCCUGGAGGAUCAAACUCUCCACAAAGAAGCUGAUGGCAUCUGCCUGGGCCAGGGAUGGAUGUCGCUUUAAAUUGUUUGUUUGUCCCAAUUAUAAUAGCCUUGUAGGUAGACAGGAAACGUUGCCAAAAGCCAGAAAGGAUGUCUGCUGGGUCAGAGCAGCAGGAGGGUAGCUGGACACAAAACAAGGGAGGAAGGUCAGUGACCGGCGGCUGUGAAAGCAGACUUGGGCCGAGGCCACACAGAAAAAGUUGGCCAAGGCCCCCACCUGUUGAGUGCUUAUUCGCUGUGCACAACUGCUCCGUUCCAAAAAGGUUGUGAAAUCCACUUUGAGAAAGAAUUAUAUUUUGAAUGUCUGAAUGGGAUUGUACUGAAAGGAAGUCCUUUGCGAGUUAUCUCGGAGAACUUCUGGAGUUAUCUGUGUGAUCUCAGGCAAGUUUCCUAACUACUCAAUGCAUCAGUUUCCCCAGAUGGAAAACAGGAAUGAUGAUGGUGCCUGCUUCAUGGGGUCGUUGUGAGGAUUAAGUGACUAACACCUUCGAAGGACUGAGGACAGCAUCUGGCAUCUGGUUAGUGCUCAACAAAGCAUAACUAUAUUGCCAUCUGGAAUUUCAAAUGUUCACUAUAUUGAAUUUCCAAAUAUGAAGAAAACUGACUGAGUUCUACGUGUUCCCUUCCAAGAGCAUAAAUGAAAUCUACACAAGCACGCGUGUUAUAUAAUGUGCGUAUGCUACACGUGACAACCCCAUUGCAACCUUUGUGGGCAUGCUCCCUGUGUGUGCUCCCAGGGUGCAUAGGAGCACAGGAUCUCGCUCCUCCACCCCUGCCUGCUUCGUUCCACCUCCUGAGUAAGUUGUCUGGCUCCAGUUUAUCUUCUACACCACUGCCAAAUAAUCUCCUCAAAGAUCAGCUCUGUGUCACCUUCUGCUCCAACACCUUCAGUGACUCCCCUUUGUCUACCAAAAGCCCAAGCUCUUCAGUGGCACUCGAGGCAUUCCAGGAUUUGACCCAAACUCAGACUUUACAUCUGCUGGAAGCCCCUAUCCCAGUGGCCUUAACACCUAAUUGAUCAACAGGCCUUUCUCUGAAUUCUUCACUUCCCUUUCUCUUUUGAAGCCUCUGCUAAAAUCCCAUUUAGUCCUCUGGAACCAGCUCAAAAGACCCUUCUCGAGCAGCCUGCCCAGCUCACUCAGCCCAGCAGAAGGAGUGUCUUCCUUCCCCAAUCCCCUCACACUCAGUGUGAGACAGCUGUUGCUGGACCUCGGGUCUGGGAGGGAAGUGGUUCUCUCCUGCCCUGUUCUCUUUGAGUCCUCUGACCUCAUCAAGGAGGAAGAGUAGCAGCUUUAACUGGUCCAAAUUCCUGUUGACCUUCCUUUUCCACAGAGAGAACCAGCCUGAGGCUCAGCCUCCCGUGGGGAACAGCAUGGAGAACAUCGCUGUGUUUCCGUGUGGUCUUUUCCUACCCAUGUAAGGCUGAUCAAGUGCUUCAAUCUCAUAUUGUCUGUUAAUGGCAAGUGAUGCUGGUUUUUCAUCUCUCAUAGCAAUGUGAAGCAUGCACUCUAAAUAAAGUUAUUUAAGCUCAAUGACUGAGUCA